rnacentral:siRNA from 1 species
ACACAAACAACACAAAAAGUGCCC